UACGGAGGGGGCGAGCGUUAUUCGGAAUUAUUGGGCGUAAAGGGCGCGUAGGCGGCUGUACAAGUCAAAGGUGAAAUCCCUCGGCUUAACUGAGGACGUGCGGAAGAAACUGCAAGGCUCGAGUCCGGGAGAGGAGGGUGGAAUUCCCAGUGUAGCGGUGAAAUGCGUAGAUAUUGGGAGGAACACCGGUGGCGAAGGCGGCCCUCUGGACCGGUACUGACGCUGAUGCGCGAAAGCGUGGGUAGCAAACGGG
rnacentral:rRNA from 1 species